AUACUUAUCAGGCAGGGAAGAUACCCUGAUCAUGAAGGUGGUUCACCUAGGGUGAGACUCUGCCUUUGCUCUCCGGUUGAGGUGACCCCUGCGAAUACCCCAAAUGUCAGAAUCUCGAUUGCAUAAAUUCUGAUAGUGGGGGACUGCGUUUGUGCUUUCCCCUG